rnacentral:rRNA from 1 species
UACGAGGGGGGCGAGCGUUGUUCGGAAUUAUUGGGCGUAAAGGGCGCGUAGGCGGUCGGAUAAGUCUUGUGUGAAAUCUUCGGGCUCAACUCGAAGUCUGCACAGGAAACUAUCUGGCUUGAGUGUGGGAGAGGUGAGUGGAAUUCCUGGUGUAGCGGUGAAAUGCGUAGAUAUCAGGAGGAACACCUGUGGCGAAAGCGAUCAUCUGGGGCUGUUCUGACGCUGAGGAGCGAAAGCUAGGGGAGCAAACGGG